ACGCUGGCGGCAGGCUUAACACAUGCAAGUCGAGCGCCCCGCAAGGGGAGCGGCAGACGGGUGAGUAACGCGUGGGAAUCUACCCUUUUCUACGGAAUAACGCAGGGAAACUUGUGCUAAUACCGUAUAAGCCCUUCGGGGGAAAGAUUUAUCGGGAAAGGAUGAGCCCGCGUUGGAUUAGCUAGUUGGUGGGGUAAAGGCCUACCAAGGCGACGAUCCAUAGCUGGUCUGAGAGGAUGAUCAGCCACAUUGGGACUGAGACACGGCCCAAACUCCUACGGGAGGCAGCAGUGGGGAAUAUUGGACAAUGGGCGCAAGCCUGAUCCAGCCAUGCCGCGUGAGUGAUGAAGGCCCUAGGGUUGUAAAGCUCUUUCACCGGUGAAGAUAAUGACGGU
rnacentral:rRNA from 1 species